rnacentral:rRNA from 1 species
CACGUAGGGCGCGAGCGUUGUCCGGAAUUAUUGGGCGUAAAGAGCUCGUAGGCGGCCUGUUGCGUCCGCUGUGAAAGCCCGGGGCUUAACCCCGGGUCGGCAGUGGAUACGGGCAGGCUAGAGGUAGGUAGGGGAGAAUGGAAUUCCCGGUGUAGCGGUGAAAUGCGCAGAUAUCGGGAGGAACACCAGUGGCGAAGGCGACUCACUGGACACGUAUUGACGCUGAGGUGCGAAAGCGUGGGGAGCAAACAGG